rnacentral:lncRNA from 10 species
AGGUGCCAUCUUGGAAGUAAAGAGCAGUCCUCACCAGACAACCAAACCUACCAUUGCCUUGAUCUUAGACUUCGCAGCCUCCAGAACUACUUCCCACUGGGUUCCAGCCGGCACACCCAACCUCUUCAGGACCUGUGAGUAGCAGAGUGACUAUUCCAGUUUGAAAGGACAUUCAAGAGCACAAAAGACCAGUGACUUCUGGGGAUAUUUCCUGAUGUUCUUGGCACUUUUACAAUUUCUGCUGUUUUUCCUUUUUUACGUAAAUCCUCC